rnacentral:rRNA from 1 species
UACGUAGGGCGCAAGCGUUGUUCGGAUUCAUUGGGCGUAAAGGGUGCGUAGGCGGCGCGGUAAGUCGGGUGUGAAAUCUUGGAGCUUAACUCCGAAACUGCAUUCGAUACUGCCGUGCUUGAGGACUGGAGAGGAGACUGGAAUUCAUGGUGUAGCAGUGAAAUGCGUAGAGAUCAUGAGGAAGACCAGUGGCGAAGGCGGGUCUCUGGACAGUUCCUGACACUGAGACACGAAGGCCAGGGGAGCAAACGGG